CCCUAAGCGGAACGAUUUUCCGUGAACAUGAUUUGUACUUUUCUACGAGCCGUACAGUAUACGGAGAAGCUGCACAGGUCAUCGGCAAAGCGAUUGCUUUUGCCAUACAUUGUGCUUAACAAAGCGUGCUUGAAGACUGAGCCCAGUUUGAGAUGUGGGCUUCAAUAUCAAAAGAAAACGGUGCGACCUAGAUGUAUUCUUGGAGUCACCCAGAAAACCAUCUGGACGCAGGGACCGAGCCCCCGAAAAGCAAAGGAGGAUAGCAGCAAACAAGUGUCUGUGCACAGGAGUCAGAGAGGGGGAACCGCCGUCCCAACAUCACAAAAAGUGAAAGAAGCCGGAAGAGAUUUUACCUAUUUAAUAGUGGUGCUUUUUGGAAUCAGCAUUACAGGUGGCUUGUUUUACACGAUUUUCAAAGAACUUUUUUCUUCAUCCAGUCCUAGCAAGAUAUAUGGGAGAGCCUUAGAAAAAUGCAGAUCACAUCCUGAGGUUAGUUCUCAAGAUUGAGUUACAUGAACUCUGAUGAGGGGGAGAAAAUGUCUGGGAGGAGGAAGUGGGCAGAAUUCAAGAACCAGUUCU
rnacentral:sRNA from 1 species